AUGCUCAGAUGGUUCGUGCAGCAACCCACCUCCUGCUCACACGCACAGCCACUUCCGCCUCCCCACAGGACUGCCAGCCUCAGGCCUCUUGUCCCCAGCUGCGGCUCAGCUGCCUGGCCCUCCCUCCAUUACCUGGGUUCUCCAGCUGACUCCGGAUGUAGCAGAGGGCAGACAGCGCUGCCUGCUGUUUGGCCUCUGUCUUGCUAUUCGCAGUGCCCGCAGGGCAGACCACACCGUCCAGUUCCACGCUCACAGAGAAGGGGAAGCAGGGACCUGGGGAAGGAGCCAGGUGAGGAAGCAGCUCCCUGGCCUUCGCCCUGUGACAGGCUCCAUCGCCACCCCAUGCUGCGCACACCCUUGAGUGCCUCUGCAGGCUGUGACCCAUCGCUGAUUCAACCAAGUCCUCACCCAACUCCUCCACAACAGGGAUGCGUGACUCCAUUUCACAGAUGA
rnacentral:antisense_RNA from 1 species